rnacentral:rRNA from 1 species
UUCGACACACUAUCAUUAACUGAAUCCAUAGGUUAAUGAGGCGAACCGGGGGAACUGAAACAUCUAAGUACCCCGAGGAAAAGAAAUCAACCGAGAUUCCCCCAGUAGCGGCGAGCGAACGGGGAGCAGCCCAGAGCCUGAAUCAGUGUGUGUGUUAGUGGAAGCGUCUGGAAAGGCGCGCGAUACAGGGUGACAGCCCCGUACACAAAAAUGCACAUACUGUGAGCUCGAUGAGUAGGGCGGGACACGUGGUAUCCUGUCUGAAUAUGGGGGGACCAUCCUCCAAGGCUAAAUACUCCUGACUGACCGAUAGUGAACCAGUACCGUGAGGGAAAGGCGAAAAGAACCCCGGCGAGGGGAGUGAAAAAGAACCUGAAACCGUGUACGUACAAGCAGUGGGAGCACGCUUAGGCGUGUGACUGCGUACCUUUUGUAU